ensembl:lncRNA
GUUUGGGCGGAAUCCUGUUGCUGAAACCCAUGGUUAUUCAUGUCCCAUGUUAUUGCAGGGGAAUAAAUCACGCCUGAGCUCUACCCACUUCGAGUCCAGAGAGUUUUAUUCACACAGCGCUGGAAAGAGAAGCUGACCAGGGGUUACAUUGGUGCCGUGAGCCGUCAAUCGAGUGUUUGGACGGUGGACUCCUCUCAGCAACGUGGGCCAGUUUCAGCGCUGCACUUUGGGCGGAAUCCUGUUGCUGAAACCCAUGGUUAUUCAUGUCCCAUGUUAUUGCAGGGGAAUAAAUCACGCCUGAGCUCUACCCACUUCGAGUCCAGAGAGUUUUAUUCACACAGCGCUGGAAAGAGAAGCUGACCAGGGGUUACAUAAGCAAUCACAAUUACAUCACUGAAACAACAUUGGAACAAUUACAACAUUUUCUGAUGUCACAAACUACAAAACUCUUCUUUACCAAAGGCAACCGUUUAACAUACAUAAAGACCUCAUCUCAUUUA